rnacentral:lncRNA from 1 species
UAAAAAAUUACAAUCAACUACUAAUAUCAUCGUCAAUUGGUUAUAUAUAAAAGUAGAUAGAUAAACAUUAUUGACAAGAAAAUUAAAAAGAUUAGAUAAAUAAAAAAUUUAAACUUUAUUAAUUAUUUUUUAAAGAUAAAUUUGAUAAAAAUAAUAUGAUAUAUAUUUAUGUUUUAAAGUUCUAUUCGUGGUAGAUAUAUAAUGUAAUAAAUUCAUAAAUUAAUAUAUUGCCCCCACAACAUAAAUUUUUUGACUCCGUCCUUCGGUAAAACUCC